UGGGGAAUAUUGCACAAUGGGGGAAACCCUGAUGCAGCGACGCCGCGUGAACGAAGAAGGUAUUCGUAUCGUAAAGUUCUGUCUUAUGGGAAGAUAAUGACAGUACCAUAGAAGAAAGCCCCGGCUAAAUACGUGCCAGCAGCCGCGGUAAUACGUAUGGAGCGAGCGUUGUCCGGAAUUAUUGGGCGUAAAGGGUACGCGGGCGGUUUAAUAAGUCGAAUGUUAAAGAUCGGGGCUCAACCCCGCAAAGCAUUGGAAACUGAUAAACUUGAGUAGUGGAGAGGAAAGUGGAAUUCCUAGUGUAGUGGUGAAAUACGUAGAUAUUAGGAGGAAUACCAGUAGCGAAGGCGACUUUCUGGACACAAACUGACGCUGAGGUACGAAAGCGUGGGGAGCAAACAGG
rnacentral:rRNA from 1 species